rnacentral:rRNA from 1 species
AGAGUUUGAUCCUGGCUCAGGAUUAACGUUGGUAGUACACACAUCCAAGCAAGUCGAACGGGAUUAGAGCAAUCUGAUUCAGUGGCGAACGGGUGAGUAAUACUUAUCUUACUUGCCGAUUAGUGGGGGAUUAAAUACCGCAUACUCUGAUUUCGGUCAGGAAAGGGUUCCGUUUGGACCCGCUAGUCGAGAGGGAUAAG